UACGUAGGGAGCGAGCGUUAUCCGGAUUUAUUGGGCGUAAAGCGUGUGUAGGCGGUUUGUUAAGUAUAAGAUUAAAGCCCGGGGCUCAACCUCGGUUCGUCUUAUAAACUGGCAGACUUGAGUAUAGUAGAGGCAAGUGGAAUUUCUAGUGUAGCGGUUAAAUGUGUAGAUAUUAGAAGGAACACCAGUGGCGAAGGCGACUUGCUGGACUAUUACUGACGCUGAGGCACGAAAGCGUGGGGAGCAAAUAGG
rnacentral:rRNA from 1 species